AAAGCCCUGCCGUCCCAAAAUCUUGUCUUGGAUUUGGCUAGAUAUGGAUGUAUUUAAUACUAAAAUCUGACUUGAUACAUCCGUAUUUAGACAAAUCUAAGACAAGAAUUUUAGAACGGAGGGAGUAAU
rfam:Triticum aestivum genome assembly, contig: Triticum_aestivum_CS42_TGACv1_scaffold_404118_5BL